ACGUGGGCCCUCAACUGACUAAGAAGAUGUAGGGCUACGAACCCUUACUUCCUAUGAUGCAACUCCGAGAUUAAUUCUCGUCUUAAUCAACUAUCAACAAACUGUCCUCAGCCUGAAAAAUGGAUAGGAAGAGGGGUGAGAUUAAAUAAUCCCAGUGAGUAAACAAUUACCAUCAAAAACAUCUAAAGCCGAGUAGAUGGAGAUAAUAUAAAAACGUUAUAUCUCAAUAAUGUUCAUAACACAAAUUUCGUUUUAAUCUAUACCAAACAAUUUAUUUUCAUCAAAAUUUCUCGGCUUAUGAAUUUCUUAAACUUGGCCCCUGCCAAAAUCAUUCUCGCAGGUACCUUCGUCAAGGUAUCCCACUGAGACCGCCAAGGCUGUUCAAUGACCCAUACCCAUAAACAUGUUUUCACAUCUGACACACAACCGUUCUUUGGCGUUGGCUGAGUCUCACUCUCACGUGGUGGCCCGAACGUGAGGUGCACUCAAAUCAUACCUCAGGAGAUACUUCACCCAACAUCUCCCCCCGGAGGUAAGUAUAUAAUUGAGUUAUCGUGCUUCUCUCAUAGGUAGUCCACGGAAACCCCCACCACUGCAGUGACCGUUUAAUAUACCACCAGACCUAUAAAAAUUCCAGUAGCAUAAUAUGGCGAAUAAAAUGUAAUCCAGUCUAUCGAGACCAAUCCAAAACUAUUCAUAUAUUUCAUGCCAACCUCAAAAAAUUUAGCCAUCAUGCUACCAUAGUGUCAUAAGCCACAAUUUCAAUAACAUAUAAAAUCAUAAAUUUCAACACAGUCUCCAUAUACUCAAUUUUCCCAAAACAAUAUUUGAUUUAAAAACCAGUAUAAAUCUCUUUUUUAUUAAAAAAACAUUUUAAUUGGAAAACAUAAUUUUUAUAAUUUAAACUCACCAUUCAAUAAAAGCAUCAAACAAGUAUAAUAACUCUAGAUAUUUAAGAUGAUAAGUUGUCCACUCACAGUUCUAGGAGUCGACGUACUCCUAAUCCCAGUCUUCAAGCACAAUUUCUGUACUUUUACCAGUGUAAUUUGCUCACCACCUAUCCACAAUGUACAAUACAUAAUUCACCACAGCAAUGCUUGACCAUUAUAAAAUUAAUUCAGGCUCGGUAUAUAUGCAUGAUAUGAUAUACAACUUAUCCGACUACCGCUUAAAUGCAGUGCUGACCUAAUUCGGCCUAUUACCCGAUUAAAUCGAUAUACGCGUCCGUUUAAACUCCAAAUUAAUUUUUUUCAGUUUCUAUACCUCAAUUGCACCCAAAUUGACUUAAUGUCCCUCAGUGUAGUGCAAAUUAUCAGUCUUGAUAGCAAAUUAUGAAAAUACCCCUAAUGGGUAAAAAUUCAUAUUUUUGCUCCGAAAAUUUCCAUUAUUUUUCUAGACUCAUAAUUCAUCAUUAUUCAUCAUAAUUCCUCAAAUAAACAUCAAGAUCAUCAGCUAAUAUUCCCCUAGAAAAUUCAGCCAAUAAUGGUAAUUGAGGAAAAUGAAUUCUUUUCUUGUUGUUUUGUUUCUAAAUAUGCUAAACUAACUUAAAACACUAACAUAACUUAGAAUCAAAUUAAUCUAACAAGUUUCUCUCUCCUAACCCAUUUUUCCAGAAUUGAAUUCAUCCUCAAAUUACAUGAUUCAACCAUGAAAAAUGAUGAAAAAUACAUGGAAAUGAUAAAUCUUAAGCUAAGCUUGAAAAAUCAUACCUUUAAACACUUGAUUCCUUGAAAAAUCACACUUUUUCUUUGAAUUUUCUCACUCUAGGGUUUGUUCUUAUUUCUCUCUCUCUCCUGCUGGUUUUGGCUGAC
rnacentral:lncRNA from 1 species